rnacentral:rRNA from 1 species
UACAGAGGUCUCGAGCGUUAGGCGGAAUCACUGGGCUUAAAGCGUGUGUAGGCGGAUCGUUAAGUACCUUGUGAAAUCCCACGGCUUAACCGUGGAACUGCUUGGUAUACUGGCGGUCUUGAGCCAGCUAGGGGCUACCGGAACAAAUGGUGGAGCGGUGAAAUGCGUAGAUAUCAGGAGGAAUACCGAUGGCGAAGGCAGCCCCCUGGGUUGAUACUGACGCUCAUGCACGAAAGCGUGGGGAGCAAACAGG